AGUUUGAUCCUGGCUCAGAACGAACGCUGGCGGCAGGCUUAACACAUGCAAGUCGAACGGUCUCUUCGGAGGCAGUGGCAGACGGGUGAGUAACGCGUGGGAACAUACCUUUCGGUACGGAACAACAGUUGGAAACGACUGCUAAUACCGUAUACGCCCUGAGGGGGAAAGAUUUAUCGCCGAGAGAUUGGCCCGCGUUGGAUUAGCUAGUUGGUGGGGUAAUGGCCUACCAAGGCGACGAUCCAUAGCUGGUCUGAGAGGAUGAUCAGCCACACUGGGACUGAGACACGGCCCAGACUCCUACGGGAGGCAGCAGUGGGGAAUAUUGGACAAUGGGCGCAAGCCUGAUCCAGCCAUGCCGCGUGAGUGAUGAAGGCCUUAGGGUUGUAAAGCUCUUUCGCCGGUGAAGAUAAUGACGGUAACCGGUAAAGAAGCCCCGGCUAACUUC
rnacentral:rRNA from 1 species